AAACUAUGUGUGAUUAUUUAGGAGGCAGUGACCAUGGAAGAUGUAGCUGUUUACUUCACCAAGGAGGAGUGGGCUCUGCUGAAGCCAGCCCAAAGGAAGCUCUACAGAGACGUGAUGUGGGAAACAUUUAGGAUUGUGAGUGCUGUAGGAAGAAGUUUGGAUGAACAGCAAAUUGAACAAGAGCACAAAAAUUCCUUAAGGAUUAUAAGAAAUGAAGAUGCACAAAAACACUAUCAAUUUAAAGCUUGGA